CUGGCCUCUGGCUCUAAACCUGUGGCCUUUGUCUGUCCUCUCAGCUUCAGCUGACUUUCCUGGCCCUGACAUUCGCCCGCCUAGAACUGAGGUCUCCGCUCAACCUCUCCCUGGCCUGUCCUGUUCUGUUAUUGCCAGCAUCCUGGUGGGACAAUUUCAUGGGUGGAAUCAGAGUGCGUUAGAGUAAGAAAUCUAAAGAGAUGCUGUUUUCUGCCUAAUCUGUUUUCUCCCCAUGGGUCAAUUUGGCUGCACUUUUAUUUUGAAAUCAAAGAACCUAGAAACAAAUGAGCAAACACCUUAUUAUUGAGAACCAUCUGCAGAAAAUCCCACGGAGCAGCUCCAAGGUCAAAGCUUAUCUGUUUUGCCUCAUGCACAAAACAGCCAGCACCAGGAGACCGGCAGGAUGGGAAAUCACAGAAUCAUAAGAAGUUUGGGUAAAAGGAAGCAUCUUCUUUCAGUUGAAUGUAAAGAAACAUCUCUCUGAUGGGUGGUGCAGAAGGACUGGAAGAGAGCAAGACAGGAGGCAGGAAGACUGACUGGAGGCCGACCUGGCAGCCCAGGACAGACCCAGACGAGGAGCUCUAAAAUCAGAUCUUCAUCGUUACUUUCCUGGUCAAGGUUUCCAAGGGGUACCCAGCCUUCAAUUCCUCCUUUAUAAUGCCUUUGAGGAUCUCCCCAGGAAGAGCAUGCCUCCCAACACUCUAAAAUCUUCCGAGAAACCUCACUGCCUAAAGAAGAAUUCCAGACCCCCUAGUGCCCAAGGGCCCCCACACUCAGGCUCCUCCUUCUUCCCUGAUCUUGCUGCCCAUUCCAUUCCUCUAACCUCAAUCACCUGCUGCACUUUGAAUCUGUUAUUGCUCAACCCCUCACCUGACCUGACUUUACCUCUGUUUCUUAAGACAGCAAAUAAAGACUCUGUUAAUAUGUGUAAGUUAAGGCAGGUGAUUUUACAAUGAAAUUGAGGGAUGCCUCUCUUGGUGACCACGUGUGUCCUAUUUUUCACAAAUAGUCCAUGCUGCUCCCUGGCGAAGGAUUGUCCCUUCCCUCUCCCACUGCCAGCAGACUUAGCCAUAUGAUUGACUUUGGCCAAUGGAAUUGGAGUAGAAGAGCCUUGUGUCACUUCCAAGCAGAAAUUUUAAGGGCCAAGGGAUGGUUCAUGAUGCUCCCCCACCCCUUCCUCCCCGCCCCUCAUCCCCAGCUAGGGCCUGUGGCACCAGCCUGGGGCCCAGAGUAAAGACGACAUGAGACAGAGCCAC
rnacentral:lncRNA from 1 species